AUGCGUCUUCUUGCUCCAACAUUCAAGUUCCAUUUCAAGGGAGGACGACGUACCAUGAUACUUUCUGUUUUGUCGAGCCCUGCUUUGGUCUCUGGUUUGAUGGUUGUACGUGCUAAAAAUCCGGUACAUUCCGUUUUGUUUCCCAUCCUAGUCUUUUGCGACACUUUUGGUUUACUUAUUUUGUUAGGUCUCGACUUCUCCGCUAUGAUCUCCCCAGUAGUUCAUAUAGGAGCUAUUGCCGUUUCAUUCCUAUUCAUGGUUAUGAUGUUCAAUCUUCAAAUAGCGGAGAUUCACGAAGAAGUAUUGCGCUAUUUACCAGUGAGUGGUAUUAUUGGACUGAUCUUUUGGUGGGAAAUGUUCUUCAUUUUAGAUAAUGAAACCAUUCCAUUACUACCAACCCACAGAUAUACGACCUCUCUGAGAUAUACGGUUUAUGCCGGAAAGGUACGAAGUUGGACUAAUUUGGAAACAUUGUGCAAUUUACUUUAUACCUACUAUUCCGUAUGGUUUUUGGUUUCUAGUCUGAUUUUAUUAGUUGCUAUGAUUGGGGCUAUAGUACUUACUAUGCAUAGGACUACAAAGGUGAAAAGACAGGAUGUAUUCCGACGAAAUGCCUUGGAUUCUAGGAGCCAUAUAAUGAACAGGACUAUUUCUCCUUUUGGCCAUAGCCAUAGAAGAAGCUUCUCCUCCAGAGCGGGGGGACCGCCUGACAAUUACAAAGAAACCUUUAAAAUGUGGAUUUAG
rnacentral:rRNA from 1 species